GGCAUGUUAUUAACCUAUAUAACUGUCAGUGGCACAUUGACACAAAGGUCGGACAAGACAGGAUUUCCCCUAUGUGGCGGUGCUGGCACUUGGGGAGCUGUGAGGCCACACUCAGAAGGAAACUACACAUCGUGAAUUGAAAAUAAUCUUUGAUGACUGGAGGACUCUGGGCUCUUCCAUGCCAUCUUUGCUAGAAAACCACUCUGCAUUUCCAGAAAGUGACUUGUUCCAAGCCCCCUAGAUGUGCCUGGUACUUUAUGAAGCAUGUAAAUUCUGCCUACCCAAGUCACUGACGCUCUAAGUGAAGGAUACAACAGGGGGAGGAGAGAAGAACAUGAGGAAGCUCCGAGAGUUUGUUCAGCCAGCUCGAAACAGGACGCAGUAUAUGAACCAGUGCUUUCUCACCACUCACCUGACAAGGCUAUUCCAGGUCUCACACACCCACAGGGCUGACUCAGCCUGCACAUCUGGAGUGGCACAAAGCUGAUGGAGUGGAUGGCCCUUAGUCUCCAUGCAUUUGUGCCAUCAAACACAGAAGUCAGGGAAAGGGGAACAUAUUCGUGUCUGACUACUGUUCGCUGUGUGCUUUUCUCAGUGUUUUAUAUUCUGCAAAUGAAGGGUUAAUGAGUUCUAAAAAUAUAUGCAUGUGGGUUAAACAGAUCUCUCUAUCUA